AAGAAAGCUUGCUUUCUUUGCUGGCGACCGGCGCACGGGUGAGUAACACGUAUCCAACCUACCCUUUACUCGGGGAUAGCCUUUCGAAAGAAAGAUUAAUACCCGAUAGCAUAAUGAUUCCGCAUGGUUUCAUUAUUAAAGGAUUCCGGUAAAGGAUGGGGAUGCGUUCCAUUAGGUUGUUGGUGGGGUAACGGCCCACCAAGCCUUCGAUGGAUAGGGGUUCUGAGAGGAAGGUCCCCCACAUUGGAACUGAGACACGGUCCAAACCCUACGGGAGGCAGCAUG
rnacentral:rRNA from 1 species